rnacentral:rRNA from 1 species
GAUGAACGCUGGCGGCGUGCUUAACACAUGCAAGUCGAACGGUGAAGCUCCAGCUUGCUGGAGUGGAUCAGUGGCGAACGGGUGAGUAACACGUGAGCAACCUGCCCCUGACUCUGGGAUAACAGCCGGAAACGGCUGCUAAUACCGGAUAUGCACCAUGAACGCAUGUUCUGUGGUGGGAAAGAUUUUUCGGUUGGGGAUGGGCUCGCGGCCUAUCAGCUUGUUGGUGAGGUAAUGGCUCACCAAGGCGUCGACGGGUAGCCGGCCUGAGAGGGUGACCGGCCACAGGGGGAAGGAAACGAGGCCGGGCCUCCGGGGGGAGGAAGGGGGGGGGAAUAGGGCAAAGGGGGGAACGGCCGGAGGAAGCAGCGCGGGGGGGGGGAGGGGGGCCUUGGGUUGAUAAACCUGUUUGGGGGGGGAAGAAGGGGGGGGGAGGGUACCUAAAAAAAAAGCGCGGGCAACCUAGGUC